AUAGUUACCUGGCAGGGGAGAUACCCUGAUCAGACAGGUGGGUUUCCCAGGAUGAGGCUCAUCCAUCGCGUUUGGCAUGUGCUGACCCCUGAGAUUUCCCCAAACGUGGGAAACUCAACUAUGUAAUUUAUGGUAGUGGGGGACUGCGUUUGCGUUCUCCCCUG